ACCUGCCCUUGUGGAGACCAGGCCUUGCGGUUCUGAUUUGCAGUCCGGGCACCGCUCGGGGCCCCGCUCCCCUGCUUCCCGGCUGCCACACGACUCAGCGUUGGCACCGACAAGAAAAAAGAAAGAGAAGAAAAGCAGAAUAAUGGAAGGAGGAGGACUGGCCUGGGGAGUGGAGACACCUGGCUUCUCUCUCCAACUCCACCUGUAGCUUGUUCACAGCCCCUCGGUGUCGCUAAGCAGCCUCACUCUGUAAGAGGCAAACAACCCCAUCUCACCUCCUCCAGCUGACACAAGACCAAGUGAGAGGCGUGAUGAGACCUGUUCCUCCAAGGACCAGGGGGCAGAAUCAAGAUGGGUGGAAGUUACAAGGAGGCAGAUUUCAGAUCACAAUCAGGAAGACAUUUCCAUUUACCAAAGUCCUUUCUACAGAUUCCUAAUCACCCAGAAAGCCUUCUCCUCUGGGAACUAGUCGAGCAGCAGACUGGUCAUCUGGCAGUGAUCCUGCACGAGAGGGACUGAACCCUGAGCCAUAAGGCCCCUUUGAAAUGGGACAGUCUGCAUGUUGGUUUAUGUGGAAGGGCUUUGGGAAGAAUCAAUGUGAGGCUAAUCGCUCAGGGGCUCGGACUUCUGGCUACCUUGGUCACUGCAGCAGGAGGAGACAAAGCUGGAGGGGGCGUCAAGCACCCGCCCAGAAGUGAAUCCCGGCACUUCUGGUAUCUCACCGAACGGAAUUAGUCACGUGGCCCUGCCUAACCUCAAGGAGGUGCAUGCAGGAAGCAUAUGCAGAAAGGAGAGAAAAAUGGAUAGAGUCUGACAUUAUGAGACAACCAAAGCUGAUGGAAAAACCUAACUCUGUCUGGAGCAUUGUCAAUCUCAUGCCAGAAAGAAAAAGACAAGGCCAAUGGUGCCCUGACUUCCAGAACUCUGUACAAAAGUGACCAAUGUCACUUCUUUGACUAAAGCAAGUCGUAUGGCCAUUCCAGAGGUCAUCAGCAUGGGGAUAACCUUACAGAGAGGAGCAUGACAAAGGAAGAAACUGGAACUUUUGGUGAAUGAGAACCUGUCUCCACCACCUCUUCCUAGGAUGACUUCUUUCCCAGAGGCACCAAAUUUUACAAUGCAGCCUGUGUGUAGGAGUGCAAAUGUUGGGGAGCAUUUACUCUACUAAUCUACUCUACUACUAAUCACCAGCAUCUGUGCAUCAACACAGGCAUUCUCCGCUCAUCGUACUCACUGUCACACAGGUAAAAACUUUUUUAUGUGACAAACUAUUCUGAGAGCAAGACAACUGCUAAUGAUGCAUGGCAAGGGAUCUAAGUGAAAUACCAUUGCAAAUAACGAGUCCUGUCCUAAUAAGAUCACGGAAGUUGCUAAGGGGUCAUUUUCAGAAUGCAUUUUACUUAGGACCUUUAUUGAUAUGAUACUGUUGAAGAAUUCAAGGAUUUAAUAGCUCUGGGCUGAGUCCCUGGAAACAUUCAGGUUCUACU